AGAGUUUGAUCAUGGCUCAGAACGAACGCUGGCGGCAUGCCUAACACAUGCAAGUCGAACGAGACCUUCGGGUCUAGUGGCGCACGGGUGCGUAACGCGUGGGAAUCUGCCCUCUGGUUCGGAACAACAGUUGGAAACGACUGCUAAUACCGGAUAAUGACUUCGGUCCAAAGAUUUAUCGCCUGAGGAUGAGCCCGCGUAGGAUUAGCUUGUUGGUGAGGUAAAAGCUCACCAAGGCGACGAUCCUUAGCUGGUCUGAGAGGAUGAUCAGCCACACUGGGACUGAGACACGGCCCAGACUCCUACGGGAGGCAGCAGUGGGGAAUAUUGGACAAUGGGCGAAGGCCUGAUCCAGCAAUGCCGCGUGAGUGAUGAAGGCCUUAGGGUUGUAAAGCUCUUUUACCCGGGAUGAUAAUGACAGUACCGGGAGAAUAAGCCCCGGCUAACUCCGUGCCAGCAGCCGCGGUAAUACGGAGGGGGCUAGCGUUGUUCGGAAUUACUGGGCGUAAAGCGCACGUAGGCGGCUUUGUAAGUUAGAGGUGAAAGCCCAGAGCUCAACUCUGGAACUGCCUUUAAGACUGCAUCGCUUGAAUUGUGGAGAGGUAAGUGGAAUUCCGAGUGUAGAGGUGAAAUUCGUAGAUAUUCGGAAGAACACCAGUGGCGAAGGCGACUUACUGGACACAUAUUGACGCUGAGGUGC
rnacentral:rRNA from 1 species